rnacentral:rRNA from 1 species
UACGUAGGGGGCAAGCGUUGUCCGGAAUUAUUGGGCGUAAAGCGCGUGUAGGCGGCUCGGUAAGUCUGCUGUGAAAGUCCAAGGCUCAACCUUGGAAUGCCGGUGGAUACUGUCGAGCUCGAGUCCGGAAGAGGCGAGUGGAAUUCCCAGUGUAGAGGUGAAAUUCGUAGAUAUUGGGAAGAACACCGGUGGCGAAGGCGGCUCUCUGGACCGAGACUGACGCUGAGGCGCGAAAGCGUGGGGAGCAAACAGG